GAUGAACGCUGGCGGCGUGCCUAAUACAUGCAAGUCGAACGAACAGGCGAAGAGCUUGCUCGGCGGACGUUAGCGGCGGGCGUGUGAAUCACGCGUGUAUAACCUACCUAUAAUUCUGAUAUAGCUUCGGGAAGCCGGAUCUAAUAGCGUAUAAUAUGGUCAACCGCAGGGGUCAGUAGUAAAGGGCUGUUUUGCUGGCACUUGGAGAUGGGUCCUCGCCGCAUGAGCUAGUUGGUAAGGUAACGGCUUACCAAGGCAACGAUGCGUAGCCGACCUGAGAGGGUGAGAGGCCACACGGGAACUGAGACACGGUCCAGCCUCCUAGGGGAGGCAGCAGUAGGGAAUUUUCCGAAAUGGGCGAAAGCCUGAAGGAGCAACGCAGCGUGAGUGCUGAAGGUAUUCGGAUCGUAAAGCUCUGUUACUAGGGAAGAACAAAUGUGUCCGUAACUAUGCAUGUCUUGACGGUAACUAAUAAGAAAGCCCCGGCUAACUACGUG
rnacentral:rRNA from 1 species